rnacentral:lncRNA from 1 species
GGAAGAAAGGACAAUAUAUAUUUUGCACAGCUGGAGCAAAAUGCUUAUGCGGAUGCUGGAAUGGUCAAGAGAGACAGGCAGUGAUGCAAAUGAUGUAAGCCAUGAUGCAGAUGCAGAUUUUUUUCCCAGAAUAGUGAAGAUGCAGCCUCUGUCAGAUUUUCAAUUCAAUGCACCUGUAAAAGGAGGAUUUCAUUCACUAUUUUCAGUGCAUAACAACUGUGAAAGAAUCACAACUCCUGCUGAGAGGCUGUCCAGAUUCUUCCAAUGUACUGUGACUAAUGUAACAGAAGAGUGGUGCCUGUCAUAUACCAGAAGUUUAAAGGAUCAUCAAGAGCUCUGCAGUAUGAGAGGACAGGUCUUUCAGCAGCUUUUCUAUCCUCUUGAAAGUAUAGAAUCAUAAGAAAUGAGAACAAAUAUGUCACCAUCAUAGAAAAAUAUUUUGAUUGUCCAGUCAUCUCCUGUCAACUGCCUAUUCACCUCAUUAUAGUCAACACUGCUAGAAGAGUGCUUAGAAAGACAUCUUUGAUCAGAUGCAUCAGACUGCAAUGCUAAGAAUCUCCUUUGUCUUCAGUGGAAAAUAUUUGGUUUUGUGGCAUGUUUCAAAAUCUGGAAUGUAA